rnacentral:lncRNA from 1 species
GGAAAUCUGUCAUAUGACUUGUAAACAAUGGAAAUCUGUCAAUAAUCAAAUACCAAAUAAUCAUUUACUAGCUUACUUCUUUAUUUAUGGAUGAGAAACUCACUUCUCCUUUCUAUUCAUUGAUCCUAUUCAGACCUUCAAAAUGUUACUCCUUAUUGUCACACCAGCCAUUAAAUCUAUCCGUUACAAACAAUGACAAUACUACAAUAAAUUACAUAACUUAGUUAAAGAAACGAUUUCUUCCCUAACCUAGCCACAACUAUUAAAAAUUCCAGCCAAAACUUGCCAGCUAGUUACUGAAAACUAACCAUAGAAAGAUACUAAGCAGGCACAGAGGGCGUGAUCGCCUACAAGAACUGCUCCAGAUUGCUCAAUCACUUCUCAGCAUUAUCUUGUGGCUGUGGGUUACUUUGUGAUUGUUCCAUCUGUAACAAUCAGAAAAUCAAAGGCCAGAAAAUAACUUCAGAAAACCAUGAACAAAUAAAUAAUUCAGCAACCAAAAUCAUGAAGCAGCAAACAAAUUCAAAUAACCUCAGCAAAUCAAAAACCACAAAACCAUGAAGCAGCAAACAAAUUCAAAUAACCUCAGCAAAUCAAAAACCACAAAACCAUGAAGCAGCAAACAAAUUCAAAUAACCUCAGAAAAUCAAAACCCAAAACCUUAAAGCAGCAAACAAAUUCAAAUAACCUCAGCAAAUCAAAAACCACAAAACUAUGAAGCAGCAAACAAAUUCAAAUAACCUCAGCAAAUCAAAAACCACAAAACCAUGAAGCAGCAAAAAAAUUCAAAUAACCUCAGCAAAUCAAAAACCACAAAUCAUGAAGCAGCAAGGAGGAAUAAUAGAACAAGUGAAUAACAGAGUAUCACCGGCGGCGAGUAACGGCGAUGACGCAACAGGAGGCGAGCUCGGCGACGACGCAACAGGAGGCGAGCUCGGCGACGACGCAAC